GAAUGAACUCAGAUGGAAAGGAGAGAGAACAGCUUCUGUGCCAAAACAAGGAUGGGGAAAAGCCCUGUAAUCGACUACAUUUACAUUCCUUGAGAGAACACAUUUGCAAUUGAGCCUGGCCUGUAGAACAUGAGGAAUGAAAAGAAUAAACAACUCACUGAUGCACAGCUACAAGGACUAUUUUUGUUUCUCAUUUUGUUGAGGACAUUUCAGAGCUUCUGAAGAAUGAAUAUAAACCAACAUGGGCCAGAAGAAAUACAUAUGUGGAUUAUAGAAAACAUUGAGACCAACUAGUACGGAAAUAGCCUAGAGGAUAUUAAUGAAAAUCAGGAAGAACAAAGUACGUAUUAUGAAGAGAGUUUCAAACCUUUGAAUAUUUUAGGUGGCAUGAUCAAGA